UGUAUUUCACCGCUUCUUGCAUCAAAUGACAAGCAUGUGGAGGAAUGGCAAAAUAUUUCUCUUAGAUCCUUGGAAAAGAAAGAAAGCAUGAGAAAUGUUGCAGAAACAGCGGAUCCUCAAAGAUGCAAGAACAACUCCUACAAUUUAUGUUGCAAACAAUUAUUGUGAAAAUGCACAUGAUUGAAAUCCCUCCUAAGGAAUAACGAAGAUAACUUGAUUGGAAUUUGUUGAAACUGAUGAAGUCUGCUGUUGUAAUUAAAUAGAAUUAAAACAAUUGUGAUCCAAAUCUCAAACGGAGGAAAAGACUUCCAACUUCUCAGCACAGACAACUAACAGAAGUGUACUUGAAGGACAAUGAAUUGUACUUAGUUUUUCAAAGAUGUCGAAACCCAAGUCAGUUUGCUGUACACAUUGCCAGAAUGUUAUUCACCCCAGAAGAAUUACGUGAUUCAAACUGUAGAGGUGUUAAAGACAAAAGUCCUCUUGACAGGCAACGGUUGGAAUUUAUUAGAAAUUCUGUUGUAAAGUAUUAUAAUGUGUUGCCUGUGUAUGAAAUGGAAGUUUGGAAACAAUGCAUGCAAAGCAUUGAUUCUCGCUGCAGGCAUGAAAGAAGGCCAAAAUUCAGAACACUUUUAACGUCCGUAAGUUGUAGUGAUGACAACUGAUUUACCAUGUGUGUAUAUCAUCCCAGUUUGUCUCUGUAAAUAUAGUGCAUUUUAACAUUGAAAACAAUUUUAAGGAAAAUAUCAUUUAACCAAUAUGAAAGUAAAAACAUUGUUGCCAUUGAUAUUAACAAAAGAUAGUUUAGACUUAAGUUUCAUAAGUUCAUAUCUUGCAGCAUAUUCAACAUUUGUCCCAUGUUUUUGAAAGUUAACGUGUAGUUUCUCUUGAUAAAUGUUUUUCCCACAUGACUUGAUGCUAUAUUAAUUCAAGUUGCAUUUAUGUCCACAUUUAUCAAUAUUUUUUUGCUUUUAUUGGAUAAAUUCCUUUAUAAAAAUUUUUUUAAUGACUUUUAUUUUUCAUGUUUUCUUCAGCCUAUCUUGAAGCCAAUGUAAAAUUAUUUAACUGAGCAAAGCUUUUGAAAUAUCUUUAUUUCUUCUCAUUAUAACUAUAAAUCCUAAGUAUUUUGGGGGGAAACAGUUUUAUUAAAUUGUACUGAUUUGUGUAGCAUGUUUAUAACCUGAAGUUUUAUAUCAAAGAAUUUUUUCAGAUUGCUAUUUUACAAUAGUGUCGAACUAAAAUUUUUGUGGUUAGCUAUACCUCUAACACUUUUUUUCAGUGCCCUCUUAAUCAGCUUUUUGUUCUUACUAUUUAUUGAUUUAUUUUAUUUAUUUGCAUGUUUUUUAAACUCAGUUUUAAAUUUUCUAUUCAGUUCAUCAACAAAAUUUUGUUUUUACAAAACUUUUUUAAAGCAUGAUUACUGUUUAACUUGUAAUACAUUUUAAAUUUAAAAUGUAGUGAAAAAUAUAAAUCUUCAGUUUAUGAUUUUAAUCGGUAAAGUUUCAAAAAGCAUUAUAUUGUACAUUUUUGAAUGUUCCAGAGUUUCGCCUCUUCUAGUCGAAUUUAAUUGCCUCCUUUCAAUUUUUAUUUCUUGUUUUUUAUUAUAUAGAAAUUUGAAAUUAUCUCUUUGUUUUGUAUAAUUUUUAAUGCAUGUUGGUUUGCAUCAAGUCUUUUGUUUCUUUGUAUUUUCUCAAUAUAUUAAUUUUCAUUUAACUUAAGCUAAGGGUUCACUCACUUUAGAUACACUGAACUCUAAAAAAAAUUAAACAAAUUUCUCAGUUUCUCUCAGGAUAUUUUCAUUAUCAUGUGUGUUGUCAUGAAACAAAUACUAAUUACUUCUGAAUUUGUGUGUACAUUUUCAGAUCAAUUGAUUUUGCUGUUAAUGUUAUUUUUAAAAAAUUAAAAAUGCUUGAAAUGCUGUUAUUAAUGUUCUUUUUUUGUUAAAAUUACAUUUUACAUGCAAGAAAAUUUACUAUUA